GGCGCUGUGGCUCAAGUGGUAGAGUGCUUGCCUUGCAUGCAUGAGGCCCCAGGUUCCAUUCCUCAACACCA
rnacentral:tRNA from 1 species